CGGAACGUGCCCAGUAGUGGGGGAUAACCCUUCGAAAGAUGUGCUAUUACCGCAUACGCACUACGGUGGAAAGCGGGGGAUCGUAAGACCUCGCGCUAUUGGAGCGGCCGAUGUCCGAUUAGCUAGUUGGUGGGGUAAUGGCCUACCAAGGCAACGAUCGGUAGCUGGUCUGAGAGGAUGAUCAGCCACACUGGGACUGAGACACGGCCCAGACUCCUACGGGAGGCAGCAGUGGGGAAUUUUGGACAAUGGGCGCAAGCCUGAUCCAGCCAUGCCGCGUGAGUGAAGAAGGCCUUCGGGUUGUAAAGCUCUUUCGGCCGGAACGAAAUCGUCCGGGCUAAUACCCCGGAUGGAUGACGGUACCGGAAGAAGAAGCACCGGCUAACUACGUGCCAGCAGCCGCGGUAAUACGUAGGGUGCAGGCGUUAAUCGGAAUUACUGGGCGUAAAGCGUGCGCAGGCGGCUUCUCAAGUCAGAUGUGAAAUCCCCGGGCUUAACCUGGGAACUGCGUUUGAAACUGGGGAGCUAGAGUGUGGCUAAGGGGGGUGGAAUUCCACGUG
rnacentral:rRNA from 1 species